UCAUUUAUGUAUUAAUUGAAAAAAAAAACAAGACAAAAGCCACAAAUAACAGUUGGGCUUGACGAUAUUUCUGUUUUUCCAGCAACAAAAUGCGCAUCUCCAUGCACUGUUCAUGUUUCUGUCACUGCUAACUGUCACAGAGUCUCUCCCAAAGACGCAAAGAAGGAAUAAAAAUAAAUACACAAGAAAAUAUUAAUGUGCUAUGAUUUGGAUAAAUAACUUUAAUCUGAUUACUGGAUUUGAAAUACGAACUCGUUAGAUUAUUCGUUACCGAAAAAGUGGUCCGAUUAAAGGCAUUACAAAGCAGCGGCGGCACCGGACAUCUCUGCUUAUAACAAACAAAUCCCUAUUUUAUGGGAUGAGUGGCAACUCCAGUCUAUAAUUUAAUAAUCUGAUCAAGAUUAGAGCCUAAAACGUUAUAGUUCAAAAACAGUAAAAAGUUCUGGUUAAGGAACAGUUAUGUCACGUAGUUAGCUAGCUAACAAAAUUCACUAAUGCUAAGCUAACGGUUACGCAAAACAAAAAUACCUACC